GGCCAACAUUAUGAAUCAUAUUUUGAUUAGAUCACUUAAUGAUUGGGGUUGAUCCAUGCAAACUAAGAAAUCAAUAUGAUUGAUUUAGGUGCCCCUAGUUUAAUCUAUCUUGAGUCUUCUUCAUGACUUGGUGAAGUCAGUAGGAGGAUUUAUGACUGGUUGGCUAGACCAGCUUAUGCCUAAUCUUCUUUAAUCUGACUUGAUGAAGUCAGUAGG
rnacentral:lncRNA from 1 species